rnacentral:lncRNA from 1 species
CCAUUAUUGUUACUAGAUCCACUGUCGUUCCCCUGACUCCAUCAAAGCCGAUUUCACCCUUCGGGUUGUUUUUAUUGACCAUUUGUGCCGCUUGGUUUGCGGGAACACCGGGAGGAGCUACACCUCUUGAAUUCACAUUUUUGGAAGCACCCGACAACGCUUGUCUCAACCCUGUCAUGACUGGAUUUUGUCGCGAGAGAUGGGCCAUAAUAGCCUUUUGUUGUUCCCUCGGGAUUCUCAUCGUUUCCGUAAUGUACUCGUCUUCAGCAUCAUCAGCAGUUGCCUCUUGAACGUAUCAUGGAUAUUUCCCACCAUGGAUCGGUGUGGCUACAUCCUCCUCGUUGCGGGUAUCAUUGAUCG